rnacentral:tRNA from 1 species
ACCUGGCUGGCUCAGUUGGUGGAGUGCGAGACUCUUGAUCUCCAGGUUGCAAGUUUGAGUCCUACGUGGGGUG